UAGUUUCUUUGGGUAGUAAUAGUUGUUCCUAGGGACCCCGUCCCACGAAGCAAAGACUAAACAAUAUUCUUUUAAAAAAAAAAAAAUGCUGGAUUCAUGCCCAAAUGUUAAUACUUUGAUGUGUAACAUGCACUGAAUGUCACAGUUGCUCCACUCCAUGUUUGAGUAACCCCCAGGACAGUCCGUGUUCAAAUGUGCUGUUACACCUUUUGAUAGGACGAUGUCAACUGUGUCUCCAUGUUUUAUAUCUGCAACAUCCAAUACCCACCGGAGAUGGCUUUUACUCUCGAAUUCAUGCAAAGAGUUUUCUUUGGGAUCAAUCCUGAGCGAGGCUCCAAGGCAGAGAAGAAGGGGAAGAAACGGCACAGAAGGAAGUACUGAGUGGGCCGACUUUGUAGCUGUUCUCAAAGACUCAGAAAUAACCUUUUUGGUACUGAAUGCACACACACACACACACACACACACACACACACACACACACACAGGCAAAUCCAAAAACAUGGGGCUUGGGAGUAGAAAUACAGAUUUUUACAGUAUUAUGUGAGUUCAGAUGUUUUAACUAGAUGCCCACAACACACAUGCUGCAGUUUCAAAUCCCCCAUGUUAAGGGGAGGGAAGGUGGGCGAUAUUUGUCAUUCCAGGUAGAGCUUUGCCUGUCAAUGUGGAGUUGGAGGUGUAAGUUUUAAGUUUUAUUUUUUGCAGAAAUCUCUUUAUGGCAUGUUGCACAGAGUCAUCCUUCUAAGGUCAUGGUUGUUAUUGCUGCACUGAUGUUUUAUAGAAAAGUUGUAUAAUGUAAUACUUCUAAUGUUCUAUUUGUUUUUUGUAGAAAGGUCAGACACUGGUUGCAGAGCUCUGCCUGUCGGUGUGAUAUGUGGAGUUGGAGGUGUAGGUUUCUGCAUCCUCCUGGAGGGGGCUCCUCAUUUUGCACUGACAGGUGAGACAGCAACAGCAAUGCUGGCAGUUUUAUUGUCUUAUUUUGUCAAUGUCUUUAACAAAUCCAUUUGUUAUUAAUGCCUGUCAGCCUGUGGGUGCUAAAAAGUUGCUAGAUUUGGCAGCUCCCUGUUAAAGGACAUGGCUGUAGUUCUUUGAGAGAACAGCUGGUUUAUGUAUGUAAAAUUGCUCUGAAUGUGAAGGUGAU
rnacentral:lncRNA from 1 species